GAAGAACUGAUGAAGUCCACACCUUCAAGUUCAGCUUGGUACAACUUACUAGUUUCAUCAAGGAAGCUCUGCAUAAAAGGAUCCAAAAACCAACAUCACAUGGUAUAUGACAUUACUUCCAGAUGUGGGGCUCUUGGACCUCACCAGACUUCAUAACUGGCACCACCACCAUCUUUCUCCAGUCUAAUUAAAGACUUGUGUAUAAAGUUGUUCUACAAGGACACGUAAUUCAUGUUUGUUAUUUUCUGUGCUACAGCUGGCCUGACAGUGUCCUAACCUUUUGUUUGUGUUCUUGUUUCUUUCUGCAACAUGCAAGCUACAAAGGUAUUAUAAAGCAGAGGUGUGACAAUGCAUGCUCCCUCUUCUAAUUUGGGAGCCUCUUGAACCUGACACUGUAGACAGUCAUGACUGGGAUGAGCUAUACAAGUGAGGACACCACAAGAAACAAGGGGAAGUUGCUCCAACAUUGAUGGACUACAAACCAGACGUCUGCAUGAUCGUCAUCAAUGAGUCCUUCCAUGAGAACCCUAAAUACAAAGAGGACUGUUUCAUUUAUGUUAUUUAGAAUGCCCAGAGG